CCAGAGGGAGUGUUGAUGAAGGUGGGCGUCCAGCAGGAGUGUUGAAGGUGGGCGUCCAGCGGGAGUGUUGAAGAAGGUGGGCGUUCCGUAAAUCCUGCACAAGCCUUUCCUUGUGCUUCUCUGUUGGGAACGCGGCACGUUUUCCUCGGAGCAUCUCGACCUAUGUUCUCUGGACAUUAUUCCAGUCUGAUAAAGGCGCCGUCCAUCCAGCUGUGGCUGGGGACCAGCUGAGACAAAUCCAGGUUAGAUCUUAUCCUCUUGGGGCUCCUGUUCAUAUGACAGCUUGCACCUGAUCAGCUCAGAGAAUAUGUUUUCCCUGAAUGUAGGUUAGGCCAUAUGUAAGGUGGCCUGCAUCCCUAAUCCACAGAUAAACACACGGAUGGAGCAUUGGUCCACAUCAGAGUUACAUAAAGCUUUGCUGGAUAUGUUUUCUCACCGUGUUUGUGUGCAGCAGGGUCCAGACGGGCGGUCCGGCUGCUGAACCUAGUUUGAGCUUGGUCAGGCUGCAGACAUGGACGACCCACACGAGCUGCCGGUGAAGAAGGCUCGGACUGAUGCCGACGGCCAGCAGGACAGAGGAACUAGUCACGUGGAUGAAGAGGAAACCUCAGCAGCUGGUUUGGGCCCAUCAGAACCUGACAGCACUCUCUCUGGACCCUCUACGGCCCGACUCCAGUCAGGUCAGCAGCUCACGUCAGUCUGAUCUAGUUCUAGAUACCUGAUCUGAUCCAGCUCUUUCUAGUCUGGCCACCACCAGCGUAUACAUGUUCAGGGGCCUCACCGCUAGAGUCCUGACUAAAGCUCUCAUGUAGCUCGGCACCACUAGCGUAUACAUGUUCAGGGGCCUCACCGCUAGAGUCCUGACUAAAGCUCUCCUGUAGCUCGGCUCCAACAUGACUAACACCAAGUCUCUACCUGACCUGUAAAACUCUGCUGCAGCAGGUCUUGCUUUAUAAACCACACCUGUCCUCCAAAUGAGCUCAGGUGGAUCACAUAACCCAACUUCUGCCAUAGAUGGACGAUGCUAACCACCUUAUGGAUAUUGUUUAUGUAAUAAACCUGCUUAUUAACAGCAUGCCACAGGUAUGCAUGACAACCAAGACAGAAGUCCAGGUUCUGGGGUGUGACGUAGUUAUGGAUAAAAUGUUUUCUUUCCCCGGGCAGCGCCGCGCUUUAGGCAGGAAAUAUUGUUCAUUGUAAAAUAUCAGGCCGAUGGUCGGCUAAUCCCGCUGGAACGAGCCGGUGGAAACCCCGACAGGUGCCGGCCUGCUGCUUCAGUCGCAGGUCACAGUCACAGAUGUUUUAAUUACAGUUAUAAUUUUAUUUUCUGUGUGUGUGUGUGUGCUCGUGCGUGUGUGUGUGUGUGUGUGUGUGUGCCCGAGGGUCCUAAUUAAACACUCACCAUCUUACUCCUGGUCCCAGUUUCACGUGUUUUUUAGGAAUCACAGUGUUUUCGUAGAAAGUCACUUUUUGUGUUCAGAGCCGUUUUGUGCGUCAGCUGUUUGGGAUUAGAUUUGUGCCAAUAGGGUCAAGAAAAACACUUUGAAGAUCAAACUGACAGAACAAAAAUAUUGACUAAAGGAAAAAACAUGUUUCAAAAGUAAAACUUACUAUCUGAAUCAGAUUCUUAAAAUGAGUAAGAAAGUACGUUUCCUUUUUCUGUUAGCCUCCAUGUGUUUUUGUUAUCAGUUUCCUUAGUUUCAUUCUCGCUGCUCACAGCUUUGCUCUCACUACCAGAUCUGCACUUACACUUUCUGGCUUUCUCCUUUGCAAUCCCUGAGUUUUUGGUUGCAAUUCUGACACAACCCUUUCGGGUGGGCGGGACUUCUGAGAAGUCCUCUCCCAUAGGACAGUGGUUUCUCUUGAGUGACAGUUCAGUGACCUGGAAGUGAUGUAGCCUCCAAGACAUUUUUUUCCCACCUGGUCAACAACAUGAAUUUUGAGCCCCAAACAGGUUAUUUCUGCUGUCUGUGGUGUCUACUGAGGAUCUAAAGUGAGUAUUGAUAAUAUAUUUUAUCUUUUCUUAGUUCAUCUGUAAGUUAAGCCACUUUUUAAGUUGGUUUUAACCAGAUGCUAGCUCACUAGCUAGCUGCUAAGCAAGCCAUUGUGCUAGCCUCAGGACAAUGGACUAUUGUUCCAGAGAGACGUAUUAAAAACUCAUCUUAACAUAUUCAUUACUGGUUUCAUGGAAUUAAUUAUUGCAGUUUAUGUUAAUAAGUUUGCUAAUUUUUCAGGAACCUGUGGAACAUCAGAGACUUUGCAGCUACUGGAGCUAACCUGUGUACUGCUAACUCGCUACAGAGGAAGCAGCAGAAAGCUGAGCUAACAGGCUGUUUUGCAGGUAAAUACUCUUUUAGUGGAACUGCAGGACUUUUAUGGUAUAACUCCGAAUCUACAUGAGCUAUUGUGGGAAGACUUUUAAACUACAUUUACAUACAGAUACAUGUAUUUUUUAUUCCAUGUUACUUGGACGGGCUAAACAAGUUCAUAGUUCUGCCUGCUCCUUUUUCAGUGAAACGGAUGGAUUAUAUGAUGUAACUCUGACUGAAUAAUUAUCUAAGUGAGUAUGUUUGAUAACAAAUUUCUUACCAGUAUACCGAUCUGACAUUUGUUUGUCAGAACAGGACAAAUCAGAUUCAAUGUGCUGUCUGUCACCCUAAAUCAGAUCCAUCUCUGAUGUUUUUAUUACUUAAGUUUGUAUGAACAGUACAUUUGAUACCACUUUUACAUCUCUGAAGUGAAACAGAUGUCACAUAAGCGCUUGAGGAAGUGGGACACUGAUAUAUUUUGUGAGGUACUGGUUAGAGAUAGUGGGAAGCACUGAUCUAGGUAAAGCACCACAAGCAUUUGUAUUUUACAAGCUUGUUUGGCAUCGAAAUAAUUACAACCCUCUUCUUUUUCUCACACCUAACACACACCUAAACACACACCAAGUUCUAUGUCACUGCUGAUGCCUUCAUUAAAUCUAAUAAAAUCUAUAGUAACCAUAGUCUGGUGACUAGUGUCUAGUUUAGCUACACGUAGCUUAGCUGGAGUAACAUAGUCUAACUCUGCCUCAACUGGUGACUUUUCUACUUCAUUGUCAGCCAGACAAAAUGUUGCUGCAGAGAAACGCCCGAGGUACUGACCCCAAAAUAAAAAAUCAUCAUGUCCACAUUUAUUUCCCACAGUCUCAAACGUCACAGUAAAAUUAAACUUUUAGCUCUGAUUUAAUUAUUUCCUUAUUGAUAUCAGUUUUCCCUUUGUUGUAGGCAAUCCUCGGGUGUCAGCAGGAGGAGGAGACCACCUGCAUAACGGAGCACCCUGGUUCUGAGCCAGUUGCACCUUUGUGCUGCUCUUUGGGGAGGCGAUGCUCGGCAGGUUAAACAACUGUAAAAUAGAUUUUAUUCAUACUUUUUGUUUAGAUCUCAUACAUCACCAGUUUUUCUUUCUUACACAUGCCUCCAUGUGCUCAGGUGGUGUUGGUGUGAUCUGGGAGGGCACACUCAUGUCGUCAUCUCCUUGUGCCGUCUCCAGGAUCCUGAUGGGAGU
ensembl:lncRNA